GAUCAGGUAGGAAUACCCGCUGAACUUAAGCAUAUCAAUAAGCGGAGGAAAAGAAACCAACAGGGAUUGCCCUAGUAACGGCGAGUGAAGCGGCAACAGCUCAAAUUUGAAAUCUGGCUUCGGCCCGAGUUGUAAUUUGUAGAGGAUGCUUUUGGUGAGGUGCCUUCUGAGUUCCCUGGAACGGGACGCCAGAGAGGGUGAGAGCCCCGUAUAGUCGGCCACCGAUCCUUUGUAAAGCUCCUUCGACGAGUCGAGUAGUUUGGGAAUGCUGCUCAAAAUGGGAGGUAUAUCUCUUCUAAAGCUAAAUAUAGGCCAGAGACCGAUAGCGCACAAGUAGAGUGAUCGAAAGAUGAAAAGCACUUUGAAAAGAGGGUUAAAUAGCACGUGAAAUUGUUGAAAGGGAAGCGCUUGUGACCAGACUUGUGCCGGGCUGAUCAUCCAGUGUUCUCACUGGUGCACUCGACCCGGCUCAGGCCAGCGUCGGUUUUCGUGGGGGGAUAAAAGCUUCGGGAACGUGGCACCUUCGGGUGUGUUAUAGCCCGUUGCUUAAUACCUCCGUGGAGACCGA
rnacentral:rRNA from 1 species